rnacentral:siRNA from 1 species
GGCAAGCAUCUCAAGUUUUCGGCG